UCGCUGAUUUGAUUCUAGCUUGCUAGAGGAUUUUCUUGAAUCACUUAGUGGCGGACGGGUGAGUAACACGUGAGCAACCUGCCUUACAGAGGGGGACAACAGUUGGAAACGGCUGCUAAUACCGCAUAACGUAUUCGGAAGGCAUCUUCUGAAUACCAAAGGAGCAAUCCGCUGUAAGAUGGGCUCGCGUCCGAUUAGAUAGUUGGUGGGGUAACGGCCUACCAAGUCGACGAUCGGUAGCCGGACUGAGAGGUUGAACGGCCACAUUGGGACUGAGACACGGCCCAGACUCCUACGGGAGGCAGCAGUGGGGGAUACUGCACAAUGGAGGAAACUCUGAUGCAGCAACGCCGCGUGAGGGAAGAAGGUUUUCGGAUUGUAAACCUCUGUUUUUAGUGAAUAAACAAAUGACGGUAGCUAAAGAGGAAUUCACGGCUAACUACGUG
rnacentral:rRNA from 1 species